UACGUAGGGGGCAAGCGUUGUCCGGAAUCAUUGGGCGUAAAGCGCGCGUAGGCGGCCUCGUAAGUCCGCUGUGAAAGUCAAAGGCUCAACCUUUGAAUGCCGGUGGAUACUGCGAGGCUAGAGUCCGGAAGAGGCGAGUGGAACUCCUGGUGUAGCGGUGGAAUGCGCAGAUAUCAGGAAGAACACCAACGGCGAAGGCAGCUCGCUGGGACGGUACUGACGCUAAGGCGCGAAAGCGUGGGGAGCGAACAGG
rnacentral:rRNA from 1 species